rnacentral:sRNA from 1 species
GGUUGCAACAUCCCCGUGGGUUGGGUGAGGACGGAAGUGCGUCUUCACAGUGAAUCCACUGCAACC